UGGGGAAUAUUGCACAAUGGGCGCAAGCCUGAUGCAGCCAUGCCGCGUGUGUGAAGAAGGCCUUCGGGUUGUAAAGCACUUUCAGCGGGGAGGAAGGCGGUGAGGUUAAUAACCUCAUCGAUUGACGUUACCCGCAGAAGAAGCACCGGCUAACUCCGUGCCAGCAGCCGCGGUAAUACGGAGGGUGCAAGCGUUAAUCGGAAUUACUGGGCGUAAAGCGCACGCAGGCGGUCUGUCAAGUCGGAUGUGAAAUCCCCGGGCUCAACCUGGGAACUGCAUUCGAAAAUGGCAGGCUAGAGUCUUGUAGAGGGGGGUAGAAUUCCAGGUGUAGCGGUGAAAUGCGUAGAGAUCUGGAGGAAUACCGGUGGCGAAGGCGGCCCCCUGGACAAAGACUGACGCUCAGGUGCGAAAGCGUGGGGAGCAAACAGG
rnacentral:rRNA from 1 species